AAGGUUUCCUCCUGAGUCAGGCAGAGGAUAGGAAGCAGGCAGAGCAGCAGAGACAGGAUCUGUUUGCAGAAAUGGGCCCAGAUUCCUCUGAGACCAAAAGGACUCCGUUGGACACCAGAGAGAGGCUGCUGGGUGACCAGAUGAUGCCAGUAAGACCUCCUCAUCCAUCUAUUCCUGGUGGGGAAGGAGAAGCAACGGCUGUGGAAGCAGCUCAGGGUCCAGUGUGCUUUGAAGAUGUCGCUGUUCAUUUCACAGAUGAGGAA